GUGCUUGCUUACGCAGCACAUAUAUUAAAAUUGGAACAAUAUAGAGAAGAUCAGCAUGGCCCUGCGCAAGGAUGACAUGCAAAUUUGUGAAGCAUUCCAUAUUUUU